rnacentral:lncRNA from 1 species
CAGCCCUGCUCUGUGGGUUGUUCUCUGUGAGCCCUGCUGAGGACAGGCUUGGGAGAGCACCCAGCUCUGGAUGUGGCAGUCCUGGAGAACAACAAAGAUUCUGGAGGGAAGAGGAAGAACACAUGAGAAGGAUCCCGGGGUGGAAAUGAACUCAGGAGCCCAGAGGUCACGUUGGUGUCUGCUCCUCUCCCUGACCCUUCAAAGUGGAGCAGCCAGAAUCUGGACCGGUCCCUCCAGGCACGGUGAUGAAUGGUGUGAUCAAACAGGAUCGCUCGGACCACAAAAGUGCACCAGCUGGGAAUGAAGAGGAAAAGGCACCCAAGGAAAAGUCUGCCAGCGAAGUGAGAGAUGGCACCAAGCUCCAGCCCCCGCCCUUCGCAGAGCGGAAGAACGGUGAGUUCCUCGCCCGCUGCUGGCAAGAGAUGGGGGUGGAGAUGGGAUCGAUGCUGGUUUAGCAUCUC